CCUACGGGCGGCUGCAGUGGGGAAUAUUGGACAAUGGGGGGAACCCUGAUCCAGCCAUGCCGCGUGUGUGAAGAAGGCCCUCGGGUUGUAAAGCACUUUCAGUGAGGAAGAACGCCUGGUGGUUAAUACCCAUCAGGAAAGACAUCACUCACAGAAGAAGCACCGGCUAACUCCGUGCCAGCAGCCGCGGUAAUACGGAGGGUGCGAGCGUUAAUCGGAAUUACUGGGCGUAAAGCGCGCGUAGGUGGCUUGAUAAGCCGGUUGUGAAAGCCCCGGGCUCAACCUGGGAACGGCAUCCGGAACUGUCAAGCUAGAGUGCAGGAGAGGAAGGUAGAAGUCCCGGUGUAGCGGUGAAAUGCGUAGAGAUCGGGAGGAAUACCAGUGGCGAAGGCGGCCUUCUGGACUGACACUGACACUGAGGUGCGAAAGCGUGGGUAGCAAACAGGAUUAGAUACCCCUGUAGUC
rnacentral:rRNA from 1 species